rnacentral:rRNA from 1 species
CCUGACGCAGCGACGCCGCGUGCGGGAAGAAGGCCUUCGGGUUGUAAACCGCUUUCAGGAGGGACGAAGCCACUCGGGUGAAUAGCCCAGAGGGUGACGGUACCUCCAGAAGAAGCCCCGGCUAACUACGUGCCAGCAGCCGCGGUAAUACGUAGGGGGCAAGCGUUGUCCGGAUUCAUUGGGCGUAAAGAGCGUGUAGGCGGCCAGGUAGGUCGGUUGUGAAAACUGGAGGCUCAACCUUCAGACGUCGACCGAAACCAUCUGGCUAGAGUCCGGGAGAGGAGAGUGGAAUUCCUGGUGUAGCGGUGAAAUGCGCAGAUAUCAGGAAGAACACCCGUGGCGAAAGCGGCUCUCUGGAACGGUACUGACGCUGAGACGCGAAAGCGUGGGGAGCGAACAGGAUUAGAUACCCUGGUAGUCCACGCCGUAAACGAUGGGCGCUAGGUGUGGGAGGUGUCGACUCCUUCCGUGCCGCAGCUAACGCAUUAAGCGCCCCGCCUGGGGAGUACGGCCGCAAGGCUA